GGUGGUAUAGUAUAGUGGCUAGUACAACACGUUGUGGUUUAUACAAUUACCGUGUAGACCUGGGUUCGAUUCCCAGUACCGCCA